AACGUAGGAGACAAACGUUAUCCGGAGUUACUGGGCGUAAAGGGCGUGUAGGUGGUUGCGUAAGUCUGGCGUGAAAUUUUUCGGCUUAACCGGGAAAGGUCGUCGGAUACUGCGUAGCUAGAGGACGGUAGAGGCGUGUGGAAUUCCGGGUGUAGUGGUGAAAUUCGUAGAUAUUCGGAAGAACACCAGUGGCGAAGGCGACUCACUGGACAUGUAUUGACGCUGAGGUACGAAAGCGUGGGGAGCAAACAGG
rnacentral:rRNA from 1 species